UACGUAGGGGGCAAGCGUUGUCCGGAUUCACUGGGCGUAAAGAGCGCGUAGGCGGCUCGUUAAGUGUGAAGUGAAAUCUCUAGGGCUCAACCCAGAAACUGCUUUACAUACUGGCGAGCUGGAGUGAUGAAGAGGUUUGUGGAAUUCCUGGUGUAGCGGUGAAAUGCGUUGAUAUCAGGAGGAACACCGGUGGCGAAGGCGGCAUCCUGGACCAAUACUGACGCUGAGGCGCGAAAGCCAGGGGAGCAAACGGG
rnacentral:rRNA from 1 species